AGACCUGGGCCCGCCGAGCCGGCGACGCUGGCUGUUGCGUCAUCGCAGGGCGACGGACAGUUCCGGGAGGACGGCUGCGGCCUCAUCCUUAUGUGCCUCGCAGCCUGGAGUUGAAGAAGGAAAAUAAAUCAUCAUUUACCACACAGGAGCUGGAACUCCUGUGUUAGGAUGCGGGAAAGGCCCUCACGCCUUUCCCAGUGGGCACUGGGAACGCGGGGUCCAGAAGGGCAUCUUCUCAGGGUGGAACAGGCCUGGAGGGAGGAGAUGACGUAGUUGGGUGAGUGAAGGAGAACUUGGGGUUUCCUUAGCAGAUGAAGUGAUAAUCCCCAAUGCAAAGCAACAUAAACCAGAUGACCGAAUAAAAUGUAAACUUGA